GAGCGUGAUGAUAUGAUUUUUUGUCGCCCCAGUCUUAGGAUCCGUAUUCCGGACCUGUGCUGAUUGACAUGUUAUCAGAUCUGACUC
rnacentral:snoRNA from 1 species